rnacentral:rRNA from 1 species
AGCGUACAAGGUGGAUGCCUUGGCAAUCAGAGGCGAAGAAGGACGUGCUAAUCUGCGAAAAGCUUGGAUGAGUCGAUAAGAGGCGUUUAAUCCAAGAUAUCCGAAUGGGGAAACCCAGUAGAUGAAGAAUCUACUAUCAACAAGUGAAUUCAUAGCUUGUUGAGGCAAACCGGGAGAACUGAAACAUCUAAGUACCCCGAGGAAAAGAAAUCAACCGAGAUUUCGUCAGUAGCGGCGAGCGAAAGCGAAAGAGCCAGUAAGUGAUAACAGUAUGGUUAGGAGAAUGUGUUGGGAAGCACAAUCAAAGAGGGUGAUAAUCCCGUAUCUAAAAACCAUAUUGUGGUACUAAGCUAACGAGAAGUAGGGCGGGACACGUGAUAUCCUGUUUGAAGAAGGGGGGACCAUCCUCCAAGGCUAAAUACUCCUGAUUGACCGAUAGUGAACCAGUACUGUGAAGGAAAGGCGAAAAGAACCCCGGUGAGGGGAGUGAAAUAGAACCUGAAACCUUGUACGUACAAGCAGUGGGAGCCUGAAAGGGUGACUGCGUACCUUUUGUAUAAUGGGUCAGCGACUUAUAUUUUGUAGCGAGGUUAACCGAAUAGGGGAGCCGAAGGGAAACCGAGUCUUAACUGGGCGUCUAGUUGCAAGGUAUAGACCCGAAACCCGGUGAUCUAGCCAUGGGCAGGUUGAAGGUUGGGUAACACUAACUGGAGGACCGAACCGACUAAUGUUGAAAAAUUAGCGGAUGACUUGUGGCUGGGGGUGAAAGGCCAAUCAAACCGGGAGAUAGCUGGUUCUCCCCGAAAUCUAUUUAGGUAGAGCCUUGAGGUGACACCUUUGGGGGUAGAGCACUGUUUCGGCUAGGGGUCCAUCCCGGAUUACCAACCCGAUGCAAACUACGAAUACCAAAGAGUGAUACUCAGGAGACACACGGCGGGUGCUAACGUCCGUCGUGGAGAGGGAAACAACCCAGACCGCCAGCUAAGGUCCCCAAGUCUAUAUUAAGUGGGAAACGAAGUGGGAAGGCUUAGACAGCUAGGAUGUUGGCUUAGAAGCAGCCAUCAUUUAAAGAAAGCGUAAUAGCUCACUAGUCGAGUCGGCCUGCGCGGAAGAUGUAACGGGGCUGAAAUAUAGCACCGAAGCUGCGGCAUCAGGCGUAUCACUAAUACGCCUUACGAUUAACAAGCUAGAAUGGCGCGAAGCGGCAUGAAAGGUUGUUCAAGCAACCCGAACGUUGAGUCGGGGUAUUUUUGAAGUAAGGAUUAUUAGUGAUACGCCUGUUGGGUAGGGGAGCGUUGUGUAAGCGGAUGAAGGUUAAUCGAGAGGUUAGCUGGACGUAUCACAAGUGCGAAUGCUGACAUAAGUAACGAUAAAACGGGUGAAAAACCCGUUCGCCGGAAGACCAAGGGUUCCUGUCCAACGUUAAUCGGGGCAGGGUGAGUCGGCUCCUAAGGCGAGGCUGAAAAGCGUAGUCGAUGGGAAACAGGUUAAUAUUCCUGUACUUGGUAAAGCUGCGAUGUGGGGACGGAGUAGGUUAGGUUAUCGCACUGUUGGAUAUGUGCGUUUAAGUUGGUAGGUGGGAAGUUUAGGCAAAUCCGGACUUCCUUAACACAGAGAGAUGAUGACGAGGCUCUACGGAGCUGAAGUAACUGAUACCACACUUCCAGGAAAAGCCACUAAGCGAAAGGCUUUACUAAACCGUACUGAAAACCGACACAGGUGGUCAGGUAGAGAAUACUCAGGCGCUUGAGAGAACUCGGGUGAAGGAACUAGGCAAAAUAGCACCGUAACUUCGGGAGAAGGUGCGCCGGCGUAGAUUGUAGUCCCUAGCGGGCGAAGGUUGAACCGGUCGAAGAUACCAGCUGGCUGCAACUGUUUAUUAAAAACACAGCACUCUGCAAACACGAAAGUGGACGUAUAGGGUGUGAUGCCUGCCCGGUGCUGGAAGGUUAAUUGAUGGUGUCAUCGAAAGAGAAGCACCUGAUCGAAGCCCCAGUAAACGGCGGCCGUAACUAUAACGGUCCUAAGGUAGCGAAAUUCCUUGUCGGGUAAGUUCCGACCUGCACGAAUGGCAUAAUGAUGGCCAGGCUGUCUCCACCCGAGACUCAGUGAAAUUGAAAUCGCCGUGAAGAUGCGGUGUACCCGCGGCUAGACGGAAAGACCCCGUGAACCUUUACUAUAGCUUGACACUGAACAUUGAAUUUUGAUGUGUAGGAUAGGUGGGAGACUUAGAAGUAGGAACGCCAGUUUCUAUGGAGUCAUCCUUGAAAUACCACCCUUUAACGUUUGAUGUUCUAACGAAGACUACGGAACGUGGUCUCGGACAGUGUCUGGUGGGUAGUUUGACUGGGGCGGUCUCCUCCCAAAGCGUAACGGAGGAGCACGAAGGUUUGCUAAUCACGGUCGGACAUCGUGAGGUUAGUGCAAUGGUAUAAGCAAGCUUAACUGCGAGACAGACAAGUCGAGCAGGUACGAAAGUAGGUCAUAGUGAUCCGGUGGUUCUGAAUGGAAGGGCCAUCGCUCAACGGAUAAAAGGUACUCCGGGGAUAACAGGCUGAUACCGCCCAAGAGUUCAUAUCGACGGCGGUGUUUGGCACCUCGAUGUCGGCUCAUCACAUCCUGGGGCUGAAGUAGGUCCCAAGGGUAUGGCUGUUCGCCAUUUAAAGUGGUACGCGAGCUGGGUUUAGAACGUCGUGAGACAGUUCGGUCCCUAUCUGCCGUGGGCGUUGGAUGAUUGAUUGGGGCUGCUCCUAGUACGAGAGGACCGGAGUGGACGCAUCACUGGUGUUCC